rnacentral:rRNA from 1 species
UUGAAAGGGAAACGAUUGAAGUCAGUCGUACCUAUGGGUAAUCAGCCUUUUGGGUGUGAUUUUGUGGAGCGUGAGGAGUUAAACGCCUUCAUGCCUGCAUAUUCGUGCACUUUGGGUGUACUUGCCCGUAUGGUUGGUUAACAUCAAUUUUGGUGGUCAUAAAAUGACUGGAGGAAUGUAGCUUCGAUCUCGUAUUGAAGUGUUAUAGCCUUCGGUAGAUGUGAUGAUCGAGAUUGAGGAUUGCAACGGAUACCCUUCGGGGCUACCUGUCUGAUCUCUGAUCGUUGCUCUGGUGCCGAAAGCUUGCUUACGGUUAUCAAAGUCGAUGGUCAAUAGGUUAGAAUGGGUUAAAUUCGUUAAGGAUGUUGACGUA